rnacentral:lncRNA from 1 species
GAAAGUUACAGUGUUACAUUCUUCGCCUCAUAUUUGUUGAGAGAGGAGGUCGGUUCCCACCGAUUACUUCUCCGUGAACUUCUGAUAUUUGCACAGUCGCUUCCAUUCAGGGUAACGAAGUGUUUUGUUAUUUGCACAGAUGAUGCCACCAGUUGUGAGACCACAAGAAGCAGUUUCUUGCAGGCAUCCAAAAAAAAUUCCUGGAGAAUUCUCAUGAUAGUGAUUUCUCUUUCUCUGAUUAAAAAACAAAACCAAACAAGAAUACCAGUUCUUCAAAGAAAUGGAGUGUUUCUGAAACAAACUGUACAAAGAAAGCAUCAUGGUGGUUGAAUGAGUGAGAAUUAUAUCAAAAGGGUUUUUAUAUCAUUAUAUUAAUAUUAAGAAGUUGAACGUAGUAAACUGCAAACUAAACAUUGAUGCUUAAUUCAAUUUGUUCUGUUAAUUUGAAAGGUCAUUGUAAUUUGUAUUUGACAUAUAAUAAUUUUUAUAUCCAUUUCUCUCUCUGUUUCAUGGGAAAAUGUACCAGAUGAACAAACAUUUUCAGUUUAUUUUUCUAAAUAAAUGUGUUGUUUGUAGAA